rnacentral:rRNA from 1 species
UAGGGAAUCUUCGGCAAUGGACGAAAGUCUGACCGAGCAACGCCGCGUGAGUGAAGAAGGUUUUCGGAUCGUAAAACUCUGUUGGUAGAGAAGAACGUUGGUGAGAGUGGAAAGCUCAUCAAGUGACGGUAACUACCCAGAAAGGGACGGCUAACUACGUGCCAGCAGCCGCGGUAAUACGUAGGGCCCGAGCGUUGUCCGGAUUUAUUGGGCGUAAAGCGAGCGCAGGUGGUUUAUUAAGUCUGGUGUAAAAGGCAGUGGCUCAACCAUUGUAUGCAUUGGAAACUUGUAGACUUGAGUGCAGGAGAGGAGAGUGGAAUUCCAUGUGUAGCGGUGAAAUGCGUAGAUAUAUGGAGGAACACCGGUGGCGAAAGCGGCUCUCUGGCCUGUAACUGACACUGAGGCUCGAAAGCGUGGGGAGCAAACA